CGCUUCCAGAAGUCAAAGUUGUAUUCAUGCUUGUUACAACUGUUUGCGAACUUAUGCUUGUAUAAACAAACGUCGUAUUAUAUGCGUUUUAAACUUUGGUAAUGAAAGAUUUUGAGGAAUUAUUUAUGGUAAUAGGUGUUUAUCCCAUUCUUCAAAUCUAAAUGAUGACGAACUAAUGCAAGGGGAAAUGUUACAUAGACGAUGUGUGUACAUACAUGUUGUGCGCAUUCAUCAUCGAGGGACACUAACUUAGACAAGAGUUUGCACGAUGUGGAAUUAAGAUUUUCUUUGAUAAAAAAAUCAUUCACAUAAUCAAUUGAUAUAAAUAACCAUAUUGAAAACAAUUCUACUUAUUUCCCUUUUUUGAUUUGUUGCAGAAGAGACUACAGAGGCGGUUUUCGAGGCUGCAAUCGUGGUCGCAGAUAAGGCAUCCAAUUAUUACUCAAACAAUAUGAAGUUCCUGUACAGGGGUUCAAAUUAUCUUUAUCAUUAUAUUUAUUUUUUUAUUUUUUUAUUAUAAAUGUCAACUG